rnacentral:rRNA from 1 species
UACGUAGGGGGCUAGCGUUGUCCGGAAUCAUUGGGCGUAAAGAGCGUGUAGGCGGCCAGACAGGUCCGUUGUGAAAACUCGAGGCUCAACCUCGAGACGCCGAUGGAAACCGUCUGGCUAGAGUCCGGAAGAGGAGAGUGGAAUUCCCGGUGUAGCGGUGAAAUGCGCAGAUAUCGGGAAGAACACCCGUGGCUAAGGCGGCUCUCUAGUACGGUACUGACGCUGAGACGCGAAAGCGUGGGGAGCGAACAGG